rnacentral:rRNA from 1 species
CAGUAGCCACGGUAACACCAGCAGCCCAAGUGGUGGUCGCGCUUAUUGGGCCUAAAGCGCUCGUAGCCUGGCCGGUAAGUUCCCCGUGAAAUCGGGUCGCCCAACGAUUCGGCUUGCGGGGAAUACUGUCGGUCUUGGGGCCAGGAGACGCCGAGGGUACUCCGGGGGUAGCGGUGAAAUGCUGUAAUCCUCGGGGGACUACCAGUGGCGAAGGCGCUCGGCGAUAACGGGCCUGACGGUGAGGGGCGAAAGCUGGGGGCGCGAACGGGAUUAGAUACCCCCGUAGUCCCUGUCUCUUAUU